CGCAUAUUGCGCCCUUUGGUAUUCCGAAGGGCAUGCCUGUUCGAGCGUCAUUAUCACCCCUCAAGCCCGGCUUGUUGUUGGACAAGGCCCACCCUUAAUGGGUCGGCCGGUCCCAAAGAUAAUGACGGCGUCUGCGAGGCUCCCAGUACACUGAGCUUUCGGGCACGUACUCGGUUAGCGCUCCAGCCCCGGUCUUACUUAGUCCUUUCACCGGACACUUUUUAAGGUUGACCUCGGAUCAGGUAGGAAUACCCGCUGAACUUAA
rnacentral:misc_RNA from 1 species